UCCACUGCUCAGUUGGUAAAGCACAAAGCUCUCAACCUUUUGGACGUGGGUUCAAUCCCUGUAGUGGAG
rnacentral:tRNA from 1 species